GUAAAGCCCUGUCGGGUGGAACGACAGGUCCUGAGGAGGGACUCUGACGGUACCAUCGGAGGAAGCACCGGCUAACUCGUGCCAGCAGCCGCGGUAAUACGAAGGGUGCAAGCGUUGCUCGGAAUUAUUGGGCGUAAAGCGUACGCAGGCGGUCUACCAAGUCGGGCGUGAAAAGUCCGGGGGCUCAACUCCGGGGAAAGUCGCACGAAACUAGCAGACUUGAGUUCGGGAGAGGGGUGUGGAAUUCCCAGUGUAGAAGUGAAAUUCGUAGAUAUUGGGAGGAACACCGGUGGCGAAGGCGACACCCUGGCCCGAAACUGACGCUCAUGUACGAAAGCGUGGGUAGCAAACAGGAUUAGAUACCCUGGUAGUCCACGCCGUAAACGAUGGGUGCCAGAUGUUGCGGGUAUUAUUCCUGCAGCGUCGUAGCUAACGCAUUAAGCACCCCGCCUGGGGAGUACGGCCGCAAGGUUAAAACUCAAAGGAAUUGACGGGGGGC
rnacentral:rRNA from 1 species